rnacentral:lncRNA from 11 species
UGUCAUCACGGUCUUGGUUGUGGAAGAAAAAAAACAAUUCAAUUUUCCCAACUGCUGAAAGCCAGAACACAACAGCGGCCUGGGUGCAAACAGUUUUUCCAUCAUGCUCUCAAGACACUGAAGAGUCACUAAGAGGCGAUGCUGAUCCCAAAUCACAAACAACCAUCAUUUCAUCUAUUCCUCUGCCAGGCAGCAUUACUGAUUACUUGGAUGAGAUGCAAACCCACCCUUCAU